CGGGUGAGUAAUGGAUAAGUAACCUGCCCUUAAGUGGGGGAUAACACUUCGAAAGAAGUGCUAAUACCGCAUGUGGUGCUCUUUCACAAGAAGGAUCACUAAAACCGCAAGGUGCUUGAGGAGGGGCUUGUCUCCGAUUAGCUAGUUGGUGGGGUAACGGCCUACCAAGGCGAUGAUCGGUAGCUGGUCUGAGAGGAUGGUCAGCCACACUGGGACUGAGACACGGCCCAGACUCCUACGGGAGGCAGCAGCAAGGAAUCUUGGGCAAUGGGUGAAAGCCUGACCCAGCGACGCCGCGUGAGGGAUGACGGCCUUCGGGUUGUAAACCUCUUUUCUCAGGGAAGAAUAAUGACGGUACCUGAGGAAUAAGUCUCGGCUAACUACGUGCCAGCAGCCGCGGUAAUACGUAGGAGGCGAGCGUUAUCCGGAUUUAUUGGGCGUAAAGUGGGCGUAGGUGGUCUUUCAAGUCGGAUGUGAAAUCUCCCGGCUCAACUGGGAGGGGUCAUCCGAUACUGUUGGACUUGAGUACAGCAGGGGAAAAUGGAAUUCCCGGUGUAGUGGUGAAAUGCGUAGAUAUCGGGAGGAACACCAGAGGCGAAGGCGAUUUUCCAGGCUGAAACUGACACUGAGGCCCGAAAGCGUGGGGAGCGAACAGGAUUAGAUACCCUGGUAGUCCACGCCUUAAACUAUGGGUACUAGGUAUAGGG
rnacentral:rRNA from 1 species